CUCAAGCAGAGGCGAAACCCAGAGGGCAGGGGCCCCUGCUCACUUUUUUGGCAGGCGGGAGGCGCAGCGCUCCAGGACAGGUCCCACUGGCAAGUGAGAAUGUCGGAGCCGAGCAGCUCGUAUCCAGGCUCGCACUGCUCCGGGACCUCGCUCCUAGCCUGCCGGACCCCUAGACGGAAUUCCGUACCUUUGAAGUGCAACACGAAACCCUGGCCCAGGCCCGGGUUGGGGGGCCCAGGCGGUGCCUGGAAUUGAAGCGUGAGAUCGGGCCCAGAGGAGAGAAGGCGGCGGCGCGGUUGAGGUCCCCGCAGCUGGGCCAGGACUCGGGCGCUGGGUCCAUCCCCGUCAAACAGUGUCAGCAUGUCUCCUUCGCGUACAUUCAAGCUGCAGGGAGUGGGACCACAUGUGGGGGCUUGGCUACAUCUGCCCCACCCAUCCGGUUCUGCCUAAUCCUUAGGUCAGUUCAUCAGCCGGCUCUGACAGAUCCCCUCCACACAUGGCUAGGGUAGAAGGGGUGUCAGAUUCCCCCCACAGUCCUCAAUCUCACACGUCCUGUGGCUCCGCCCAUUUCAGCUUCCCAGCCCAACGCUGUUUAUUGCUAACUCCUCCCACGUUCCAAAGUCUCCAUCACCGAGGCAUAGCUCACUCCAAAUCUGACCAAUCACAGAACAUGCUCACCACCGGGCCUCAGUGUGUGCUUUUGGGCCACGCCCGCUUCUGAUUGUGUGCAGUCACACGACCACCUUACACCAAAUCCGCUCACUGGAUUCUCCCCAGCCCCACCCACAUCCAUCUUGUGGGCCGGUGAAGGUAUAACCGCUUGGGCCCGAGUCCCUGGAAAUCUCUCCAGGGGCGGCCUCUGAGACUGCUAGAGUGAGAGACACCAGGCCAGAGCCCCUUUUACAGUCGCUGAGGAAGGCUGCAUUACUCCAUUUACUUGUCCCAGGUCACCUGGCCAAUAAGUGAUUUGUACCUCCAUCUGCCUGACAGCCACGUCCCCAUCUUGAACUCUUAGUUGCCUCUAUCAUCGGACCAUAUAUUCACUGAAUCUCGUGUAGAUGUGAGAGCCUCUCUUUGGGUCUGUCCAUGCCCCACUCUCAGGCAUGUACUACUUUCUCUAUGUUCUUGUUUUCCAAAAUAAACUCUUAAUGCUCAAAAAAAAAAAGAA